AUUCUGCCCAAGCGGGGAAGGAUGAGAAGCUUCGACCAAGGUUCGACUCGAGCGCCAGCGAGAGAGCGUUGCCGCAGGCAACGACCCGAAGGGCGAAGCG
rnacentral:sRNA from 1 species